GUAUAGGCACUUUCAGCCAAGCUUGACAACCUGAGUUCCAAGACCCACACUGUGGAAUAAGAGAACCAACUUCUGCAGAAGUCAUGUCCCUACACAGAUACACACAUCAGGCUGUAUGCAGUGUUACACACAGCUUUCCUAACUCUCAGAACUGGAAGUGGAGUUCUCCUUCGGUGCCUUUAACCCGCCUGUAAGCACACUAGUGUAGCUUCCUUAAGUUUGAUGGCAUUUCAAGUGGUUUAGCUGAAACAGUGAAUGUAUGACCUUGUGUUGUUUAUUUUUGUUGCCAACAGGAUGCCUUCUUUGUGAAGAUAUAAUAGUGUCACUCUAAACGAUGGCCUUUUUUAGGAUUCAGAAGCAGUUGUAAAUCAUCGAACCUUUGUUUAUUUUACCACCAGUUAGUGCCUUACUCCCUAUCUAGAAAGCAGUGUUACUGUCCAGUGCCCAAAUAAGACAUGCUUACAUGGGCAAACCUAUUGUCUUGACUUUGAGAACAGACAAUUCUUACACUUAAAACUUCAAGUAAACUGACAAGAAUUGAAGUUAACAUGCCCCUUGGUUUAAGAAUAAAACACUGUUAACACUGGGUUAAAAUGAAUAUCUGAGUUAGGCUUACAUAUUUAUUUCCGGUGAUUGUCUUAUUAAAAGCAAUAUCCUUAGCAUUUUUACCUGCUGUUUGGCUCUGUGGUACCAAGUCAUGGGAAUUUCUCUCGGGGUCAAAUGUUCCAUUUCUGAAGGUUUAGAAGCCUACUUUGUGAACAGAAGUGACCUAAUAGGCUUAUUUUAUGUAACAGCAAUGCUGUUGGCAAGAGAAUCCUGAGAUUUCAUUUUAUAAGCAGAGGAGAACAGGACACAGCCAUGUUCCAGUCUUAUAGCAUUGACCCUGAACACCGUGUCUUUCUAACAUGGAGCUGACACGCCUAUAUAUCUUUACCUGUAUCUUGAAUUAAAAUAUACAGAGCAUGUUUGAACUUCUUUUUCAUGAAUAAAUCUCUCAAGGAUAAGCUUAUUAAGAAAUACCCAUUUCUUUAUUGGUUUUGUUGUUUAAAGCAGGGUCUCACACUCUAGCCCAGGCUGGUCUAGAACUCAAUAUUAGUCCAUUGGCUCCAAAUUCAUGGCAGCCCACCUGUCUCAGCCUCCAAAAUGCUGGGAUCAUAGACGUGAGCCACCAUGCCUAGCUUUCUGUUCCCUUGUGAACUGCAGUUGCCCUCGGCCUGUUCAUAGCUGAGUCCUGUUGUAAACCAUUUCACAAGUGAAGGCCAGGUCCUGUGAGCUUCCCUCAAGACCCUGCUGCUCAGAGGAAUUGCACCUCUCGUUUAUUCUUACAGCAUAGGAAAUAUCAGCCUCAGGCCGUAGAGGAAAGUGGGACUAUUCUAUAGCCACACACCAGUCCUUUCUCUAUAGGAAGCUAAAGAAAUGUUUAGUUGGUUAGUGUUUACCAGGGAAUUUGAAAUGUAUGAUAUAGGAAAACAUUUACGUUGUAGACAAAGAGGUGAAGCACACGUUGCCAUAAGCUAGGAAAAUGUUAAGAAAGAUUGGAUUUUCCUACUUAUAGAGAUCUGGAGGGUGGGGAUGUGGCUCAGUGCUUUACACUGGCUAGCAUGUCUGAGACCCUGGGCUUCCUCCACAACCCUCAUCCCUCAAGCACACAUAGAGAGCUGGGGUAAUUUCAUGUAAAAGUUAUUCUGUGUUGAUAUUUAUUACUACCCCAGAAAACUGGUUGCCAAAGGGGCCUCCUUGCCAUUUUGAUAUAACCUAGUUACUACUUGAUCUCUAAUAAAUCUAAAUUUAUGGUGACUUAUCACAGUAAGUUGAAGUAGAAACUGUCCAUUUUCCUAUGGUUUUGCCAAAUUGGAAGUAUUGGUAAGAUAGCAAUUAAUCAUAUUUUUAAAUGUUUAAUAAAUUUUCCUAUUUUUGAAAGUUCUAAAUUUAUUUAAAUUUCUGAAACUUGAAAAUUUAUAGAUGGGAUUACUCAUUAGGGCUAUUUUCAAAGCUUCACAUUUUUAAGCUAAUUUUUUUAUUAAUUUACCAUUUAUUCUCCUUGAAGCAGAUAAAUUCCAACCUAUAGCUCUAAAGAUACAGCUGUUUGUGUUUGUGUGUUUGUGUCCAUCGCUGAUUCAAAUGAGUGGUUGAAGAAAGGGUCUCCUUCCCGUUUCCUCACAGUCCCCUCUCUAUAUACCGCAGCUCCCCCCCCCCCCCGCCCCCGUGAGAUCUGCACGGGGAUUGUUUCAGGUGUAGGGAACGAAGCUUAAUGUAGUUGCAGAAUGCAAUUCUUUUAGUUUGUUUUAAAUGUUUUAGUUUCACAAAAAAUGCUUUUCAAAUACAGUGAAAUAGCCCAGGAUAUGCAUUAACUCAGAUACACAGCUGUUGUCAUCUGUGUUCACAAAUGCAUGUUUUUGAAAAUUACCUCUAUAAAGAACAACUAAGGCUAAGGAUACAAAAGCUUGCAUUUGUAGUCCAGAAUUUUCAAUUGGUCCAUUAUACCAUGUACGGAAAUGUGAAAGACAAUUUUGUAUAUUUGUUACUAACUCAGAUCAUUAAAAUGAAAACAAUUUUUU
rnacentral:lncRNA from 1 species